GUUUGCACCGAGCCCUUGCCGAAGGAUUUGGUGCCGAGAAUGAUGGCGCGUUUAUGAUCUUGCAACGCCCCGGCGACAAUUUCUGAGGCGCUGGCAGAUCCUCUAUUAAUAAGCACAACGAUCGGUUUACCAUCUGUCAGAUCACCCGGCCUCGCAUUGAAGCGCUGAUGUUCUUCUUUAUUGCGGGACCGCGUUGAGACGAUCUCACCCUGAUCCAGAAAAGCAUCGGAAACGGUAACUGCUUGAUCUAACAAGCCACCAGGAUUGUUUC
rnacentral:ncRNA from 1 species